rnacentral:rRNA from 1 species
ACGGAGGGUGCGAGCGUUGUCCGGAAUCACUGGGCGUAAAGGGCGCGUAGGUGGCUCGUUAAGUGGCUGGUGAAAUCCCGGGGCUCAACUCCGGGGCUGCCGGUCAGACUGGCGGGCUAGAGCACGGUAGGGGCAGAUGGAAUUCCCGGUGUAGCGGUGGAAUGCGUAGAUAUCGGGAAGAACACCAGUGGCGAAGGCGUUCUGCUGGGCCGUUGCUGACACUGAGGCGCGACAGCGUGGGGAGCAAACAGGAUUAGAUACCCUGGUAGUCCACGCCGUAAACGAUGGACACUAGGCGUCGGGGGGAGCGACCCUCCCGGUGCCGUCGCUAACGCAGUAAGUGUCCCGCCUGGGGAGUACGGCCGCAAGGCUG